CCUACGGGUGGCAGCAGUCGAGAAUCAUUCACAAUGGGGGAAACCCUGAUGGUGCGACGCCGCGUGGGGGAAUGAAGGUCUUCGGAUUGUAAACCCCUGUCAUGUGGGAGCAAAUUAAAAAGAUAGUACCACAAGAGGAAGAGACGGCUAACUCUGUGCCAGCAGCCGCGGUAUACAGAGGUCUCAAGCGUUGUUCGGAAUCACUGUGCGUAAAGUGUGCGUAGGCUGUAUCGUAGGUGGGGUGUGAAAGGCGCGGGCUCAACCAGCGGACGGCGCAUAAUACUGCGGGACUAGAGUAAUGGAGGGGGAACCGGAAUUCUCGGUGUAGCAGUGAAAUGCGUAGAUAUCGAGAGGAACACUCGUGGCGAAGGCGGGUUCCUGGACAUUAACUGACGCUGAGGCACGAAGGCCAGGGGAGCGAAAGGGAUUAGAUACCCCAGUAGUC
rnacentral:rRNA from 1 species